rnacentral:rRNA from 1 species
CAGCCGCCGCGGUAAUACGGAGGGCGCGAGCGUUGUCCGGAUUUACUGGGCGUAAAGCGUGCGCAGGCGGCCCGUUAAGACAGGUGUGAAAUCCCUGGGCUCAACCUAGGAAUUGCGCUUGUGACUGGCGGGCUCGAGUACGGUAGAGGGGGGUGGAAUUCCUGGUGUAGCAGUGAAAUGCGUAGAGAUCAGGAGGAACACCGAUGGCGAAGGCAGCCCCCUGGGCCUGUACUGACGCUCAUGCACGAAAGCGUGGGGAGCAAACAGGAUUAGAUACCCUGGUAGUCCACGCCCUAAACGAUGGGUACUAGCCGUUUGGUGCGCGAUAGCGCUGAGUGGCGAAGCUAACGCGUGAAGUACCCCGCCUGGGGAGUACGGCCGCAAGGUUGAAACUUAAAGGAAUUGGCGGG